rnacentral:rRNA from 1 species
AUGGAGCACGGACGAGAUGAGCAAGCAGAAGAGGUGUUCGGGGACAUAAUCUUAGCCGGAGGUGAUAUCUUGUCGUAUCUUAACGACAAUGAUGGUCUGGAAGAACAGGGUGAAGAAGCUGGCUGCGGUGAUCGAAGAGUGGAGGAGGAAAGACAUGAUUAUGAUGGCUCCGGUGACCCAAUGCUGGUGCAAGAAGGAGCCCGUGGUGACGGCUCCGGUGACCGAACAGAGUCCGGCCAGCCCUCCAGAUCGAGCACAACUGCGGUAAAGAGACGAGGCCCGAAGAGAAAGUUGCGCUCGGAUGAAAGGUUUGAGAUCACAGCAAUCGCGCGCGACGGCCAACCGAUUGAACCCCUCCGGACAAAGGAUGCUUUUGCUGCUCAGUGCGGGGUUCUAGUUAGGGACAAGAUCCCGAUCAGCAUCCACCAAUGGUAUAAGCCUAAGAAGGAAGACCCUGAGGUGUCUUAUGUCAAUGAUAUGCAGAAAGAUGAUCUUUGGACUGAGCUGAAGGCAAAUUUCACCCUACCGCCAGAGGAGGAUCCGGAGAAGCCAGUUAUAGAGCAAUUAAUCAAGUCUCAUGCUCUUAAGAAGAUGGCAGACCUAUUCAGGAGGUGGAAGAAUGAGCUGAAAACGUUUGUCGACAAAGAAGAGACACCUGAAUUCAUCGGCCGGUAUGAGAAGAUCAGAGAUCACUGGCCCGCAUUUGUGGCCCACAAGACAUCGGAAAAGAGUAAGAAGAUGUCAGCGACAAACAAGAUGAAUGCUGCGAAGAAGAAGCUUCACCAUCGCACGGGGUCAGGUGGCUACCUCAAAGCCCGGCCUAAGUGGGCCAAGUCUGAGAGGGAUCUGCUUGAUAAAGGGAUUGAACCACAGACAAUGAACUCGACAGACCGUUGCCGGACUUGGUUCUUCGGGGCUGGCGGAACCUUGGACCCUGUAUCAGGGAGGUGUCGUUGGACGGACGAGCAACUUGCAAUACCCGUCAAGAAGAUUCAGCACUAUAUCGAUGCAGCACAGCAAGGGACGUUCGUUCCAGAUAGAGAGAACGACGAGCUCACAAUGGCCCUCGGGAAUCCUGAGCACCCUGGACGGACACGAGGCACGCCAGGCUCCGUUUCGUGGAAGGCUGGUUUUACGGACGCGGGCGGUUACAAAACCCAGGAGCGGAGGAAAAAAGUGGAGCAGAUCCAAAUUCAGCGUCUGCACGAAAGGGUUCAAGUGCUAGAGGAACGAGACGGCAAUAGAGAUGCCGAAACUGCCCCCGAAGCUACACCGCCAUCUCAGCGUAGAAGCAGCGUGGCUUCCACCGAGCUGCCUUAG